UCUUUAAAAAGGUGGUGGGACAAGCUCACCCUGACAAGGUUCAGUUGUAGAGUUUAAGGCAACUAAGUGAAUUUACAGGAUCUUCAGCAGACAGUACAACAGAUGCAAUUGGAGGCAGUCCUAAACAAAAUCAGAUUAAGAAAAGAGGAGCAUCUUGUUCCAGUAAUGCUGUACCUGGGAGCAAGAGGUUUUUCUGAGAUGAAGAAUCCUUAUCCAGGUUUGAUGUUUUUCUGCCAUGGGAUGGAUUCCACAAUGGGGAGAAAGGGAAUGUGAAACUUAAUGAUUUCUGCCAGCUCAAGGUUAACGAGGCUUCUUGUGCUUUUGCACCCUGAGAAGUAUCUGGAUCUGGCAUUAUUCUACAUUAGUAUUUCAUGCACAUUCCUUACAAUUGAAAAUACAAGGAAAUCAAUACUUCUUUGAAUGAAAUAUGUAAAACAAGGAAAGAACAUAAUAGAACACUCAUCCCUGAAUCAGGUAAGACCAAGUUUAAAGUACCUCAUUAGUUUGUCUCUAAUAUUAGCCUGGAAAAGGUGCCUCUGCAGAAACAAUUAUAUUUCGUAGAAUAAUAGAAUGUUAAUAGGUUGGAAUGGACCUUAAAAUCAUCUAUUCCCAGCUCCCACUGCCAUGCACAGGGAUACCUCCACUAGCCCAGGUUACUCAAGGCUUUAUCCAACCUAGCUUUGAACAUUGCCAGGGCUGGGGCAUACACUGCCCUCCCUGGGCAGCCUCUUCCAAUGUCUCACCCCACUCACAGAAAAGAAUUUCUUCCUAAUAUCUAACCUAAAUUAGAGGACUGGGAAAUCAUCAGCCUCAUGAAUUUCAACAAAGAAAAGUGCUGGAUUCUGUACCUGGGAUAGAGCUGGAUUCUGUACCUGGGUAGGUACAAUCUGGAGAAUGAAAUACUGGAAAGCAGCAUCGUAGACUUUGGGGUCCUGGUUGAUGGCCAGUUGGAUGUGAGCCAGCCGUGUCCUGGCAGCCGGGAGGAUCACCUGUGUCCUGGGGUGCAUCAGGCACAGCAUCACUGGCCAGGCAAGGAGGGGAUUGUCCUCUGCUCUGCUCUGCACUGGGACAGCCUCACAUUGAAUAUUUUGUGAACUUUGGGGCACCUCAGUAUAAGAAAGAUAUAAAGCUUUGAGAGUGUCCAAAUGAGGGCAGUGAAGAUGGUGAAGGGCCUUGAGGGGAAGCCUUGUGAGGAGUGGCUGAGGUCACUUGGUCUGUUCAGCCUGGAGAAGAGGAGACUGAGGGGAGACCUCAUUGCAGUUACAGCUUCCUCAAGAGGGGAAGAGGAGGGGCAGACAAGGAAUGGUGCCCAAGGGUGCCUGAAAUUGUGUCAGGGGAGAUGUAGGCUGGAUAUUGGAAAAAUUUUCUCCGCACAGAGGGUGGUUGGGCACUUACCCAGGGAAAUGGUCGCAGCACCAAGCCUGAUGGAGUUCAAGAUGUAUUCGGGCAAUACUCUCAGGCACUUGGUGUGGCUCUUGGUCUCCUGGGCUGAGACUUGGACUUAAAUAUCCUUUUGGGUAUCUUCCAACUCAGCUUUUUUUGUGAUUCUGUGAUUUGCACCCAUCAUUCCUUGUUCUAUCACUAAAGUUCCUGAUCAAGAGUACCUCUCCAGCUUCUGUGUAAGACACCUUCAGAUGCUGGAAGGUUGCUGUGAGGUCUCCACCCAAAAUUCUCUUCUCCAGCCUGAACAGUCCCAGCUUUCUCAGCCUGUCUUCUGAGAGAAAGAACACCAAGUCCUCUAAUCAACCUUGUGGCCCUCCUCUGGACUUAUUCCAAUAGUUCCAUGUUCUUAUGCUGGGGACACCAGAGCUGUAUGCAGUAUUUCAGGUGGAGUCUCACAAAAGCAGAGUAGAGCAGGAGAAUCACCCCUAUCUACCAGCCAUGCUGCUUUUGAAACUGCCCAGGGUUUGGUUUUCUGUGCUGCAACUACACACUGCCAGCUCAUGUUAAUUUUUGCAUCAACCAUCACCCCCAAGUAUUCCUCAGCAGGCUGUGGAAAAAGUUAUUAAGUUAUAUAUUCUAAGUCUACUCUACCAGGCCACACAUAUUGUCAGUUUACAAGUAGCCAAACUUGGUAAUUGUUAUUAUUCAGUAGCUAUUUUGAAUACCUCAUUCUUCCAAUUCUUUUUCAAGCUUAUAUCAACUUCUAACACCACAAGUGUCCUGUAAUAACUUCAUUACAUGAAGAGGAUUUUUGUUGUUUCAAACUUGCCUUAUUCAUAUUUCAUCUGAUAGCUGCUUUUUCUCUCUAGAAAAGACAGUAUGCAAUCAUACCCUUUUUAGCUCCUUCAUAAUCUUGAUGAUUUUAUAAACUAUUGUUACAUUAAUAAUGUCUUUUUUUUCCUAGCCUGAAGAGUAAUAAGAUGUUUAAUUUACAAUCAUAUAGAAACUCUUUCAUACUUCUAAUCAUCCUUGUUGUCUUCUCUGUAUCUUUCUGAUUGGAGAGAGAGGAGAGAAAACUGAACAAAAAGUGUAUACAGUGUUCAAGACAAGCUCAUGCUGUGAAAUUACAGAGGUGUAACAAUA